GACGAACGCUGGCGGCGUGCUUAACACAUGCAAGUCGAACGGAAAGGCCCUGCUUUUGUGGGGUGCUCGAGUGGCGAACGGGUGAGUAACACGUGAGUAACCUGCCCUUGACUUUGGGAUAACUUCAGGAAACUGGGGCUAAUACCGGAUAGGAGCUCCUGCCGCAUGGUGGGGGUUGGAAAGUUUCGGCGGUUGGGGAUGGACUCGCGGCUUAUCAGCUUGUUGGUGGGGUAGUGGCUUACCAAGGCUUUGACGGGAAGCCGGCCUGAGAGGGUGACCGGCCACAUUGGGACUGAGAUACGGCCCAGACUCCUACGGGAGGCAGCAGUGGGGAAUAUUGCACAAUGGGCGGAAGCCUGAUGCAGCAACGCCGCGUGCGGGAUGACGGCCUUCGGGUUGUAAACCGCUUUCGCCUGUGACGAAGCGUGAGUGACGGUAAUGGGUAAAGAAGCACCGGCUAACUACGUG
rnacentral:rRNA from 1 species